rnacentral:rRNA from 1 species
CUAUGCGCCUUGCCAGCCCGCUCAGGUGUGCCAGCAGCCGCGGUAAUACGUAGGGGGCAAGCGUUAUCCGGAUUUACUGGGUGUAAAGGGAGCGUAGACGGCAUUGCAAGUCCGGAGUGAAAGCCCACGGCCCAACCGUGGGACUGCUCUGGAAACUGUAGAGCUGGAGUGCGGGAGGGGCAGGCGGAAUUCCUAGUGUAGCGGUGAAAUGCGUAGAUAUCAGGAGGAACACCGGUGGCGAAGGCGGGUUCCUGGACAUUAACUGACGCUGAGGCACGAAGGCCAGGGGAGCGAAAGGG